rnacentral:rRNA from 1 species
AACGAACGCUGGCGGCAGGCCUGACACAUGCAAGUCGAACGCCCCGCAAGGGGAGUGGCAGACGGGUGAGUAACGCGUGGGAACCUACCUAGAGGUGCGGAAUAGCCCAGGGAAACUUGGAGUAAUACCGCAUAAGCCCGCAAGGGGAAAGAUUUAUCGCCUUUAGAUGGGCCCGCGUCUGAUUAGCUAGUUGGUGAGGUAAUGGCUCACCAAGGCGACGAUCAGUAGCUGGUUUGAGAGAAUGACCAGCCACACUGGGACUGAGACACGGCCCAGACUCCUACGGGAGGCAGCAGUGGGGAAUCUUGGACAAUGGGGGCAACCCUGAUCCAGCCAUGCCGCGUGAGUGACGAAGGCCUUAGGGUUGUAAAGCUCUUUUGGCGGGGACGAUAACGACGGUACCCGCAGAAUAAGUCCCGGCUAACUUCGUG